ACGGGGUGCAGCAGGCGCGAUAAACUUUACACUACACGAAAGUGUGAUAAGGGAAUUCCAAGUGUGCUUAUACCAUAAGCACUUUUUCGGAGCGCAAAAAGCUCCGGGAAUAAGGGGUGGGCAAGACUAGUGCCAGCCGCCGCGGUAAAACUAGCAUCUCGAGUGGCAGUCACAAUUAUUGGGCUUAGAGCGUCCGUAGCUCGUUCGGAAAGUCUCUGGUGAAAUCCUACGGCUUAACCGUAGGGCGCGCCGGAGAAACUACCGAGCUAGAGGGCAGGAGAGGUCGGGGGUACGUCUGGGGUAGGGGUGAAAUCCUAUAAUCCUAGACGGACCAACAGUGGCGAAGGCGCCCGACAUGAAUGCGCCUGACAGUGAGGGACGAGAGCCAAGAGCGCGAAACGGAUUAGAUACCCGUGUAGUCCUGGCCGUAAACGAUGCCGACUAGGUGGGGUGUGACCUUAGUGGUCAUGCUAUGCCGAAGGGAAACCGUUAAGUUGGCCGCCUGGGGAGUACGCUCGCAAGGGUGAAACUUAAAGGAAUUGGCGGGGGAGCAC
rnacentral:rRNA from 1 species